ACUGGAAUCAGCAACUCCCUGGAACUCGGGCCUCUGGCCCCGUCCCUCUUUUCUCCGGCAGGGACGCAGGAUGCCUUGGUGCACUCUAGAGACGGGGACCGGAGGGUGCAGCGCGCCUGGGUGGGGCGAAGGGCGCCGGUCUCCUCACGCCCUCUGACUUUAGGAUACCAGACAGUGUCUCUUCAACCCCACCCCAGGCGCAGGUUUCCAGAAGGCGGGGUGGGUGGGGCCCCCGAUUUCCAGAAGGCGAGUUACCUAGCAGGUGUGUGGGGUGGGCAUUGCUAUUCGGAGAAAAAUCAAGACGUUCCCUUCAGUCCUCCCUCGGUGUUAACGUCUGCUCCAGCUCGCAGCCCGCUGCUGGGAGGAAAAUGGAAGAAACGGAGAUACUUUUAGUGAAGCAGAAUAAACCACUGAACAGGAAAAAUGAGGAAGCUGUGAGUACCAGUGGAAGGAACGAGCCAGGAAGAGGGACUGGAACCAUCUCAGAAGCCAUGCCCCUCAGGCUGGAACUUGCCCUGUCUCCUCGCAGAUGAGCUACCUCUUGUGUUUAAGAAUUAAAGGAAGAUGAGCUAGGAAUCAAGAAAUACGCAGAACUGAUUCCUGUCACUGGCGCCACCCUGCCACUUGCCCAGAGCUGUGGUAUAAAUUUUUUUAAUAGGCUGAAAUAAAAAUAUGAAUAGCAUUUUGGUAUUAAGCAUUAAAUUGAUAAAGGCUAUGAGAUACACCUGCUCUCAACCAUGUUAAUUUUUUAUUAUUGGUAUUAAUAAAUUAUUACUUACUAACAUAUUAACAAGAAUUGCAUUGAGAAACAAAGCAUCCACAGGCCAAAUCUUCUGAAUUUCAAAUGUUUAUAUUAAUGCGUUGUAUUCUAGAAAAGUAGAAUUGUCUUAAGUAGCUUUGUAAUAUAAAGUCAUCUAUCAGCCCAUUACACCUAUUAGAAUGUUUUAACCUUUAUUUCCCACUUUUUUGUUUCUAGACUGAGUGUACUUGGUCUGGUAUUUGUGGCAUAACUUACGGAACACAUAAGAAUGAUACAGAUACUAUUUAAUGAUGACCUAAUACAAGCUUAGAUAGCUAAGGUGAAAGCUUCUAUGGCCUUAACAUUUUCCUCUUGAAGAAUGUAUUUUCUGUAAUAAAAUACAGUGGCUACUUGAAAUCUAUAAACUUAUGUGAGGUCUGGAUAAAUCUGAGCAACUUUCUUCUUUGUGCUCCAGGAACCUACGCACUAUAUAUAUAAAUAAAGCUUAAGUAAACAUCACUGCAAAAAAAAAAAAAAAAAA
rnacentral:lncRNA from 1 species